AAAUUAAUGAGUUCUUGUUUUGAAAAUGAGAAUUAAGGUUUUGUUCCUUUUAAUUUUU
rnacentral:tRNA from 1 species